rnacentral:rRNA from 1 species
UACGGGGGGGGCAAGCGUUGUUCGGAAUUACUGGGCGUAAAGGGCUCGUAGGUGGCCAACUAAGUCAGACGUGAAAUCCCCAGGCUCAACUUGGGAACUGCGUCUGAUACUGGAUGGCUUGAAUUCGGGAGAGGGAUGCAGAAUUCCAGGUGUAGCGGUGAAAUGCGUAGAUAUCUGGAGGAACACCGGUGGCGAAGGCGGCAUCCUGGACCAACACUGACGCUGAGUGAGCGAAAGCCAGGGGAGCAAACGGG